UCCCCGGUGGUCCAGUGGUUAGGACUCUGUGCUUUCAUUGCUGAGGGCCUGGGUUCAAUCCCUGGUUGGGGAA
rfam:Ovis aries breed Texel chromosome 2, whole genome shotgun sequence.